AUUGUACCUGUUUUAUGUUCAAAAUGGACAGAUGUGGCCUCCCUCACCAACCCAACAAUAUCAUUUGAUAAAAUGAGCAUUACAUUUUGACAGAAUAAUGCGAAUGCUAAAGGGUUGAAAUGAUGAUGAUGAUGUGACUGUUUUUCAUUAUUUCAUCCUUCUUGUGCAGGUCUGUCUUGUGUAUGAUUUUGUAAGUAAGAAAAAAACAAACAUACCACCACAUACAUAAAUAGAAGUGGGGGUUCUUUUCUGGUGUGUAACUACAAAGCAAUUGAUUGUAAAGACUUGUAGAUCAUGAUUUUUGCUCACAUUUACUCCCUCAAGUUCCAUUCAUAUUAAAUAAAGGUUGUGUGUGUGUUUUAGAGAUGUAGGAGAGUUAUUUGAACUGUAAGACUAUAGAUUGUAUUCAUAUUUCUGUUUUCUUUAAACACAGAUAUAAUUUUUUUCUGACUUAUGCAGCAAAAAGCCUUAUUGUGUGAACAUGGACUUGAGAACAAUCCAUUAACUUUGUCAUGGAUAGAUGCACCACCUCCAUCUACUGUGCCUGAAUGCGAAAAUGAAACAAAAAAGAUGCCUCACAAAAUACCAACUCCGUUGGCUUUCCAGGCUAAUUCUUAUCAAGCUAAUUCUUACCAGCCAAUGACCUCUGAUGAAAGAGCCUUUGAAAGUUUGGUUCUGCGUAAACUUCGACAGGCUGAAGAAAGAAAAAGACUUACUGAACAGAUAAUGAAGGAAGAUGAAGCAGAGACUUAGCUCCGAUCUAAAACAGCUAUUUUUGCUUUGUUCAGGAACAUUCUGAUACAGUAAACAAUUGUUUCUUUGUUUACAUGCCGAUUUGAUAUUUUGUCAAAUGACUUUCUCUUCCGUGAAGAGGCUAAUUAAUCUAAUAAAAUAAUAAUAAUAAAUGUGA
rnacentral:lncRNA from 1 species